ensembl:lncRNA
UUUGAGAGGUAACUGCACGUUAAACGUUUGGACGACAUGGGGGUGAACAGCACGGGCUAAUGAUAGUAAUGAUAGAGGGAGAGAGCAUAUCUAAUGCCUGAAGAAGUGCUGUUUUCCAGUCUUGGGCAAUAAUUGUAGGUCUGAGAGCAUCCUCAGCGAAUGUGUAUUGAUCGCUCCACAUGUGGUUUAGUUGUAGCGGGGCAAACAUGAGUAAGGGAGCGAGGAGGGUAUUUGCUCCUCCGACACUCCAGCAGAAGGAUGCGAUAGUGUCACGGCGCGUGGUCGUUUAUGAUAAAAGGGAAUUCCGUAAAAGUGCUUUGGACAGCAAACUAUUACCGGCUUUCGUGCUCAUCGAAACGUUAACGACUGUCGGGAGCAAAUCACAUUUGAAAAAAGAAAAAACCGAGAAGAGAAGCGGUGCAAGAUGUUUUCGUGAAAUCAAGUUUGAGCAGAUAUUUUGGUAAGUAGCACACUUAUAAUGGGGGCAUAAUAUCAGAAAGGAUUCAGCAAAAGUAAACUGCAAUUUGUAAAAAUAAAAUUAAAUGGAUUUAAAUAGCUAUAUGUUUUGCUGUUUUCCAAGGAUGAUACAGCCCAGCGGUAAAGUCUCCAUAAUGCUGUGGAUGAAGACAAAAUCGCUUCUUCUUUUUAUUUUAACAUUGAUUUCAGCCCAGAACGCUGAACUACCUGCAGUAAUGGACAGUGACAUGCUCAGUGAAUUUGCUUACCAACCUGGGCCAUCGUACCUGAGUCUGACCCUGCUGGCUCUGACCGUGGGACUGUCUGGCAGUGUUUACCUCUGCGUGCUGCGGUACAUUUGCACCGGCUGCUGCCAGCCUGUAGUUGUUGGACCUGAAGAUGAGAGCAUGUCAGGAGUGGUGUGAUAGCAGCUUUUGUUUGAAAGCGUGUGUGUAUUCAUGACUGUGAGUUUAGUUUUUGUGCGUGAGCACUUAUGUUGGUCAUCUUGAGUAGUUUGAGCAGACGUUCAUUUUCAGCGCAAGGCUUUGCUGUAUUUAUGAAAGUUAACUAGGAAAAUUGGCACAACUUUCAAUUAUUUCCUUUAUUUUCAAACUAAAACAGCAAUGUUUCAUUCAUAAAUCUCUGAAAAUCCCUGAUUGAAUUGUUGCUGUUUUAUUUGAAAAUAAAGGGAAUAGUUGAACAGUGUGCA